rnacentral:lncRNA from 1 species
AAGGUGAUGAUUCAGUUGGUGAUAUAUUAAAAUUUUUUUUCUAAUUAUCAUCCUGCUUUAGCCAAAGACUUCUAAAAUUAUCGAACUAUGAGAUCACAUAGGAUGUUCGCUCCUCUUAUUAGGAGUGAUCAAUCCCUUAUUGACCACUCAUAAUCUUUAUACAUAUUUUACUAUAUCUAGAACACCCCACAUAAAGAUC